GGGCACUCUAUGGGAACUGCCCGUGAUAAGCGGGAGGAAGGUGUGGAUGACGUCAAGUCCUCAUGGCCCUUACGGGUUGGGCUACCCACGUGCUACAAUGGUAGUGACAAUGGGUUAAUCCCAAAAAGCUAUCUCAGUUCGGAUUGUCGUCUGCAACUCGACGGCAUGAAGUCGGAAUCCCUAGUAAUCGCGUAACAGCAUGACGCGGUGAAUACGUUCCCGGGCCUUGUACACACCGCCCGU
rnacentral:rRNA from 1 species